rnacentral:rRNA from 1 species
CAGUAGCCGCGGUAAUACGUAGGGUGCGAGCGUUAAUCGGAAUUACUGGGCGUAAAGCGUGCGCAGGCGGUUCGUUAAGACAGAUGUGAAAUCCCCGGGCUUAGCCUGGGAACUGCAUUUGUGACUGGCGAGCUAGAGUACGGUAGAGGGGGAUGGAAUUCCGCGUGUAGCAGUGAAAUGCGUAGAUAUACGGAGGAACACCGAUGGCGAAGGCAAUCCCCUGGACCUGUACUGACGCUCAUGCACGAAAGCGUGGGGAGCAAACAGGAUUAGAUACCCGGGUAGUCCCUGUCUCUUAUAC